UCCUUCAGGUCCAUUACCCUCUCUUCCCUGG
rnacentral:piRNA from 1 species